UAUUGGUCAACUAAACACAAAUCCAUUUGAUUGGGGAAAGCAGCUGCUGAAUCGUUUCUUUGUUUUUUUCAUUUUUACAACAUUUAUCGCAAACGUCCGCAACAAAUUUUGUAACAAGAAUAUAAACACAAAUAAUAAUAACGUAAACGUAAACAGUUGAGAGAGUGUGCAUAAAAAGCAGUCGAUGCGUAAUCGCGCUUUUCAGUUUGUUCGCACUCGCAAUGACAGCCAGAAUGUUGCUCUCGUUGUUUUUGGACUUCUUUCGGUGCCGCAAACCCUUUUGGCGUCGUGCCACAAUCAAUGCACCCGACGUUGGCGACUCCACUUGGAGUCUCGGUCAGAUCAUGGAUGGGCCAAGAGAAAUAUCGCAGAAAGUGAAACUGGAGGCAGUUGCCAUAUCAAGUGAUUCGGAUUAUGAUUCCGUUGGCAAUUCGGUGGACAUUAGCGAGGAACCUAAAGAUGCUCAUGUUAUUGAUAUUAAGAAUGCUAAUGAAAAGACAAACAAACCAGAAUCUGAUAAUGAGAAUGACGAUGGAUUCGAUGAUCCGCGACUACCCGAAAUGAUUAUUUAAUGCUGCUGUUGUGCUCAUUAUGCAAUUCGCUUUUAUUUGCAAACGGCAAAUAACCAAAAUUAACUCAAAAUGACAUAAUGGCAGCAGUAACACAAUUGAAUAAUAACAACAAAGAUGUAGAAGCCAACUGUUUGUUUCUAAUCGACACACAGAUACCCAUCAGCCAAAUAAAAAGAUAAACAAAUCGAAGCAAGUGCAUAAGCCCGGUGAAAAUAAAUAGAAAAAAGUGAAACAGCUGCCAGCAACAACAACGACAACGACAACGACAACGAGAGGAAAAAAAUGGUUAUAAAAUAAAUAAAUAAACAUAAAUGAAUUGGCUAGAAAUUUAAUAGCAUGACAAAUUAAUCCGCAUACAAAGGUUUCACCUGCAGGCGACAUAAACACAAAUUGCCACAAAGUCGUAUUCAAUAUGUGGCAUCAAAUCAAAUAAAGUGUUCGCCAAAGCUUUAAACAUCAAACGCACGUUUUGAGGCAGAAUUGAAAGCUAACGCCAAGGGAUUAAAUUCGUACAGCUUCGUACGCUUUGUGUUCUCCCUCAACUAUGCUGACAAUGUCAUAAUUUCGCAAUAAAUUAAAAGCAGUUGGAAUUAUGAAGCUGAUUGCAAUACAAGCACAAAAUAUAUUUAGUUGAAAUUAUUAAUUUGAAUGACAUGAAUGUGAAUAACAAAACAGAAGAAGCAUGAAAGAGGCAAACUGCAAAAAUUAUAGCAUACUUUUGGGAGCAACUCUUCAUUGUUUUUUGUUGUGGAAGAAAAUAUAGUACAAUUUUGUUUUAAUUUACUUAAUUGCUUAUACUUUAAUGAAAAUAAUAAAUUCAAGAAAAUAUAUACAUAAUUUCUAUAUAUUAAGCUAUAAACAGAAUCU